AUAAUUUUUAAAGGUUCUCCUAACGAUCCUCAAUAGGAUUUUCGGGUCUUUCGUCUUACGUUCCUUUUAGUUCUAUAUUUUAUGGGUUCUUAGUUUCUGAUAGCAGUUGGACUUUGUUGAGUGUUCCUACUUCUUCAGUUUUGGGUAGGUAUGCCUUGCUUAUUGUUCAAGGUUGUUUUGGUUCAAUGUCUUAG